UGUCAUCUCUCACAUUCUUUUUUAUAUGAACAAUCUAAAGUCUUCUAUUUCUGAUGUGGUAAAUAUUGUCAUACUCAUGGGUAAAUAUUAUAUUCACUGUUGUAAAUGGAGAAACAAUAAGCCCUCCUUUGUAGGUUUUGUUAAUGACUUUAAAUUAUUUUUCCUGUCUCUCCAUAAAGUGAAAUCUAAGCUGGCGUGUAAAAUCCACAAGGAUAUAAACUCUAUGUUACUUUUAUGAAAUGACCUUGCUCCUUAAUAUUCAGUGUGU